rnacentral:rRNA from 1 species
UGCAACCUGAGCUCAGUCGUGAUUACCCGCUGAACUUAAGCAUAUCACUUAGCGGAGGAAAA